rnacentral:lncRNA from 1 species
AUCAAAGGCUAACCACCCAUGAUUUAAUAAGAACAUGAAACAUGUUUGGUUAGGGCAAAACAACUAACAUUUGGCGUUCCGCCCAAACAGGACACGCAAUCAUACGAUUAUUCAUUCAACAACCUUCUUACUACCGUAACCCACUAUCCGAUUGAGGAUUCUAAAACGACGAACCAUCGGGAUAUUCAAUUCCAAAUUCGAAAAUUACCUGGAGCACCGAGAUCCGAUUGUGGCACCUGUCGAUUAACCUCCGGCGAGUCCACGAUCCCCU